AUGGUAUACUACAGCUUCGACCGUGUCGAGGAUGAUCCCCACAACUACUAUCCACCCGAAUUUCUCAACUCACUCACUCCCAAGGGGCUUCCUCCACAUGUCUUGAAGCUGAAGAUUAAUUGCCCCGUUAUAUUGUUGCGAAAUAUCGACCCUGCUAACGGACUAUGUAAUGGAACGAGGCUUGUGGUUCGAGGGUUCCAGAGAAAUACUAUUGACGCCGAGAUCGUUCUUGGACAGCACGCCGGAAAGAGGGUCUUCUUGCCUCGGAUACCCCUAUGCCCCUCUGAUGAUGAAGUCUUUCCUUUUCGCUUUAAAAGGAAGCAAUUCCCAAUUAGACUCAGCUUUGCCAUGACAAUCAACAAGGCACAAGGGCAAACCAUUCCUAAUGUCGGUGUGUAUCUACCUGAUCCAGUUUUCUCGCAUGGUCAGCUAUAUGUGGCAUUAUCUAGAGCAACCGCAAAGAGCAACAUCAAAAUUCUUGCUAUACCGGGUAAGGACGAGAAUGGACGAUCCAAAUCUUCUAACUCUCAAGGGACAACCACACGGAACAUUGUCUACAAGGAAGUCCUCAGCAUGUAG
rnacentral:rRNA from 1 species